rnacentral:rRNA from 1 species
AUGAUGUGGUUUAAUUCGAUGCAACGCGAAAAACCUUACCCACCUUUGACAUGUACGGAAUCCUUUAGAGAUAGAGGAGUGCUCGAAAGAGAGCCGUAACACAGGUGCUGCAUGGCUGUCGUCAGCUCGUGUCGUGAGAUGUUGGGUUAAGUCCCGCAACGAGCGCAACCCUUGUCAUUAGUUGCUACAUUCAGUUGGGCACUCUAAUGAGACUGCCGGUGACAAACCGGAGGAAGUGGGGAUGACGUCAAGUCCUCAUGGCCCUUAUGGGUAGGGCUUCACACGUCAUACAAUGGUCGGUACAGAGGGUUGCCAAGCCGCGAGGUGGAGCCAAUCCCAGAAAGCCGAUCGUAGUCCGGAUUGUUCUCUGCAACUCGAGAGCAUGAAGUCGGAAUCGCUAGUAAUCGCGGAUCAGCAUGUCGCGGUGAAUACGUUCCCGGGUCUU